GGCUCUUUGGCGCAAUGGACAGCGCAUUGGACUUCUAGGACAGAAGAGGCAUAUAAAGGUUGUGGGUUCGAGUCCCACCAGAGUCA
rnacentral:tRNA from 1 species